rnacentral:rRNA from 1 species
UGAGUAACACGUGGGAACGUGCCUUUAGGUUCGGAAUAACUCAGGGAAACUUGUGCUAAUACCGAAUGUGCCCUUCGGGGGAAAGAUUUAUCGCCUUUAGAGCGGCCCGCGUCUGAUUAGCUAGUUGGUAGUGUAAUGGACUACCAAGGCGACGAUCAGUAGCUGGUCUGAGAGGAUGAUCAGCCACAUUGGGACUGAGACACGGCCCAAACUCCUACGGGAGGCAGCAGUGGGGAAUCUUGCGCAAUGGGCGAAAGCCUGACGCAGCCAUGCCGCGUGAAUGAUGAAGGUCUUAGGAUUGUAAAAUUCUUUCACCGGGGACGAUAAUGACGGUACCCGGAGAAGAAGCCCCGGCUAACUUCGUGCCAGCAGCCGCGGUAAUACGAAGGGGGCUAGCGUUGCUCGGAAUUACUGGGCGUAAAGGG